rnacentral:lncRNA from 1 species
CUAAAAGCUAUUGAUCUAAAAUUAAAUUUUACCAAAACAGCACAGAAUUUAAAUUGUGUAUCAGUACUACAUGAUUUGGAGACAGGGUGCGACCUCUUGUUUGCAUGAUAAAGUUGUAAGUCACUGGCGUGUAUGAAUAUGACCGUAAACUACCUUUUGCUGCAUGGUGAGGUCGUAAGUCACUGGCGUGUAUGAAAUAAGACCGUAAACUUGACCUGCUACAAAUCAGAGUGUUUACAUUUGGUCUGGGCUUCACAGUUUUCUUUUUAAAGGUAAGGGGGUAGAUCUGGGAUUUUAAAUUUUCUUUUUUAAGAUUGAUGGUGUGAUCUGGGAUUCAAAAAUUUUCUAUUUGAGAUCAUUUUAGAUAGAGUAAUGCAGUUUGUGCAUCAUUUUGUAUUUGUAAAUUCAGAUUCAAAAAUUUUGAAAACUUCUUUUUAAAAAUUGGACUUUUUAAAUUACAGAUCUGUAUAUUGUUUUGAUAGAAGUUUUCCAAAUUUACAC